GAUGAAGAACGUAGCGAAAUGCGAUACGUAAUGUGAAUUGCAGAAUUCAGUGAAUCAUCGAGUCUUUGAACGCACAUUGCGCCCCCUGGUAUUCCGGGGGGCAUGCCUGUCCGAGCGUCAUUUCACCACUCAAGCCUGGCUUGGUGUUGGGCGACGUCCUCUUUGGGGACGCGCCUCGAAACGCUCGGCGGCGUGGCACCGGCUUUAAGCGUAGCAGAAUCUUUCGCUUUGGAAGUCGGGGCCCCGUCUGCCGGAAGACCUGCUCGCAAGGUUGACCUCGGAUCAGGCAGGGAUACCCGCUGAACUUAAGCAUAUCAAUAAGCGGAGGA
rnacentral:misc_RNA from 1 species